AGUUAAUGAUCUUGAUUAAAG
rnacentral:tRNA from 2 species